rnacentral:lncRNA from 1 species
CACGAAACAUGGUCCUGCCAGCGGGUAUAAAGUUGGCACACGAAUUAAGAACUCUGUCGAUUAAGAAAUAUAGCCCUGUCACGGGUAUAAUAGUGACCUUAGCACGAAUAUCUGUGAGCAAUGUUUUGAAACAUGACAUGAAUACAUGAUGAAAAUGAUUUACGAUUCAUGAUUGUGAAAUAUACAUGAUUUAUGCAUGCAUG